GGCGUGGUGCCAGAGUGGUUAAUGGGUAUGACUCGAAUGGCAUUCUUGCCUAUAGAUAUCAUAUGGUUUCGGCCGCGUAGGUUCAAAUCCUGCCCACGUCG
rnacentral:tRNA from 1 species